CCUACGGGAGGCAGCAGUGGGGAAUCUUGCGCAAUGGGCGAAAGCCUGACGCAGCCAUGCCGCGUGAAUGAUGAAGGUCUUAGGAUUGUAAAAUUCUUUCACCGGGGAAGAUAAUGACUGUACCCGGAGAAGAAGCUCCGGCUAACUUCGUGCCAGCAGCCGCGGUAAUACGAAGGGGGCUAGCGUUGCUCGGAAUUACUGGGCGUAAAGGGAGCGUAGGCGGACAGUUAAGUCAGUGGUGAAAGCCCAGAGCUCAACUCUGGAAUAGCCUUUGAUACUGAUUGUCUUGAGUAUGGGAGAGGUAUGCGGAACUCCGAGUGUAGAGGUGAAAUUCGUAGAUAUUCGGAAGAACACCAGUGGCGAAGGCGGCAUACUGGCCCAUUACUGACGCUGAGGCUCGAAAGCGUGGGGAGCAAACAGGAUUAGAUACCCUGGUAGUCCACGCUGUAAACGAUGAGUGCUAGUUGUCGGCAUGCAUGCAUGUCGGUGACGCAGCUAACGCAUUAAGCACUCCGCCUGGGGAGUACGGUCGCAAGNUUAAAACUCAAAUGAAUUGACGG
rnacentral:rRNA from 1 species